rnacentral:tRNA from 1 species
GGGGAUGUAGCUCAAAUGGUAGAGCGCUCAAUUAGCAUGCGAGAGGUACGGGGAUCGAUACCCUGCAUUUCCA